rnacentral:tRNA from 1 species
GGGGUUGUGGCUCAGUGGUAAAGCAUUUGCCUAGCAUGCAUGAGGCACUGGGUUCGAUUCUCAGCACCG